rnacentral:rRNA from 1 species
GAUGAACGCUAGCGGCAGGCCUAAUACAUGCAAGUCGAACGGUGUCUUCGGACAUAGUGGCGCACGGGUGCGUAACACGUAUGCAACCUACCUUACAUUGGGGGAUAGCCUUUCGAAAGGGAGAUUAAUACCGCAUAAGACAGUAGCUGGGCAUCCAGCAGCUGUUAAAGAUUUAUCGAUGUAAGCUGGGCAUGCGUCCAAUUAGCUAGUGGGGGAGGUAACGGCUCACCAAGGCAAUGAUUGGUAGGGGAACUGAGAGGUCAAUCCCCCACACUGGCACUGAGAUACGGUCCAGACUCCUACGGGAGGCAGCAGUAGGGAAUAUUGGGCAAUGGACGCAAGUCUGACCCAGCCAUGCCGCGUGCAGGGUGAAGGCGUUAUGCGUUGUAAACUGCUUUUAUACAGGAAGAAACGACUCUUGCGAGAGGCAUUGACGGUACUGUAUGAAUAAGCACCGGCUAACUCCGUGCCAGCAGCCACCGUAAGAC